UUACGGCCAUAUCACGUUGAAACCCCGGUUCCCGUAUGAUCCCUGAAGUUAAGCAACGUCGAGACUGGACAGUACGUAGAUGGGUGACCGCUUGAAAUAUCAGGUGCUGUAAG